UUCAUGUCAAUAUAUCUUACGACUCCAUAGCUCUAUCAACCUCCAGGACAAGUUUCUGUUGUUCUCUCGAUCUCCAUCCAUCAAACUUGGUUGAACCUACCACGCUGCCCAAUCGAGCAACGGCUGUCACGAGCAGCGCAUCCUCCUCCACAUCUUCUCUGUAUCAGGUCUCUAUUAGCGUCGUUCUCAGUUUUUGAGGCCGUCGCUGCAGGAUAGCGCAACCACUUAUUCUUUCUUUUCUCUCUUGCAGAUUCAUGUUUCUUAUUUCUCUUGCAGAUCCAAGUUCCCCUCCUCCGCUUAUUCCUUCUUUUCUAUCUUGCAGAUUCAUGUUUCUUAUCUCUAUUGCAGAUCUAAGUUCGCCUCCUUCUCCCCUUACAGGUGCCACCGCUUCCUAUAUUCUCCAACUUUUCUCGCAGAGAAUCAGAUGGCAAUCUGUGCAAGCAUAUGUCGCUGCUGCUAGCACGAGUUGAGUGUAAUUUUCUUGGGAUGAAUUAGACAAUGCCAAGCACAUCUGGCUUCCAGAGACGAGGAAUAUUUAGUCAGCGACUAAUCAUGGUAGUCAUGCCCUCUAGGUGGAAAUAAUAGAAACAACAAUAGUCGACUCAGGUAAGUGCUCAAAUCUUCAAAGAUUUACAACUGUAUCUCCUUAAAGAUUUACAAUUGUAUCUAUAAUUCUUUAUGAUCACUUUGGUGAUCAUGUAUUAUAGACAAGCAGAGAAGACCUCAUGGUUAUUUUGGAGUUCGCGGUUUAUUUAACCAGACAACGUCUCUCAUUACUGAUUCUUCUGCUCAAUUUGACACCUUUUCUAGGAGAUUGAUCAUGGCAACUAUGACGAUGGUGACGUACGUGUGCAGUCAUUUUCUUUUAUGCGGGUUUUAGUCGAUCAACCAACUAAGCCGACCGGUUGUAAGCUGUGUGCUAUACGCCGAGUGUAACACUCGGCGUACAGUUCGCCGAGUUUGAAACAGCUUUUGCCGUGUAUGAAACAUACACGGCUUACAAUGUUUUUGCUGUAGUGAGAUUGCUGUAAUGUAUAUCCAUGUAGUUGCAUGAAGCAAACGCAAUUUCGAGGUGCAUGUCACUUAUUUUCAAAUACUUUACUGAAUGCGCCAUACUGUAGUUGACUUCUUAUAUAGGGAAAAUAUGUGGAAGAUCCUCCACAUGAUUCCACUGUACGUUUUAACACUAGGUUGAAGAUGUUGGUUUGGCUGCUUCAGCACAUGCACUGACAGGCAUAAGCAUCACGUGUGUAAACUGAAAAUUCAGUCUAUCCUCAUGCUAAAUUAGCAUAAGCUUCUAACUUAUUAGGACAAUGAUACUAUGCUUCAACUCAAAAGGUAUACGUAUAAAGGGUAUUUUAAUUUUAUUGCACCUUGCUGAAAUCGAUGUUUUAUAUACUUCGGUGUCAGGUGGUAUCAAGCUUGAUCAUGAAAUCUUUGAAAGUAUAAACACCAUUCUUGCAUGUGUGUGAACUUACACGCAAACUCACCCAAGGUGCCAG
rnacentral:lncRNA from 1 species